CGGGAAACCGCCCCUGAGGGGCGGGACCGCUCCCUCCCCUUGUGCGGGGCCUGUGGGCACACUGAGGUGGCAGCCAUUUUGUGGUGGCGAAGACUGGCCGCAGCGGAGCUUCGCUGCCGUGUGGUAGCAGCUGUUCUACUGCUCUGACUGCUCUCCGAUGGGCUGAGGCUUACACUUACCUGUCUUCUGAAGACAAAUCGUAGAAGGCCAUGAUAGCUAGCAGAGGGAAGCUGGAAUAUGAGACUGGUGAAUCCUUGAAUCCUGCAGGAGCUCUUCCUUCUGAAUAGAGUAUGGAACCUCCCCCCCCCCCCCGCCUCCCGCUGAGGACUCACCUUCCAUGCAGUACCGGACAGCUGGCCAUAGUCUGAAGUAGCUGAGAUCUGCAGGCAAACAUACAGAAAGAGGGAGACACUACCCUACUUUGACAUGGACAGCUGAGGAAGGAGCUUUGGCACAUCUUUGAACAUGAACAAUCUGAAAGACACCUGCUCUGAAAGACCUUCAGAUUUAGGGUGCAAAAGCUGACUCUGCUUGGAUGCAUUUCACGCUUGGAGCAAUCUCUUUCUCCCACUCAGACUAGAUACUUUACAAGAUGCUUUGCGUGCAGCUUACUUCUCUGUGGCAUUACCCUUAGGAUUCCUGGUCUUCAGUUGAGUUUGUGGCUGAUCAAGCAAAGGGAUGACCAGAAGUUCCUUUGGGGUUUCACUGCAUCUCAUAGAUUUCAUAUAGUGUGCACAAACUCCAGGUAACUCUUCUGACAUUGUAGGUAACUUCAUUGCUUCUGGUAUUCCUUGUAAAAUGGGAACCCAAUAUGUCAAGUGACAGAAAUUCUCUUAGAACCUGAUUCUUUGCUUUGUAGUCUUGUGAAAGCAAGUUCAGUGGAGUGAGGAGUUUUUUCAUAUUUUUUUAAAAUCCAGAUAAAUAACACCCUAAGAAUGGCUGGAUUGA